ACACAAGCUAUCGCUGACUGCCGGUGCGUGUUUGAAGUGGGCCACAGGGGCUGGGCAUGAUAUGAGCUGCCUGGACAUUGGAGGAGGCUUCCCCGGAAUGGAGGGCUCCGGAUCCAAGUUUGAGGAGCAGUUGAGAACAACAAGCAAUAACAACCAUACGAAGAAUCUAGCAAACUCUACUUUACUUCUCCUUUUCGUGGUCCUGGAAAGAAGAAGACUUUACUUCUCCUUUUCGUGGUCCUGGAAAGAAGAAGACUUUACUUCUCCUUUUCGUGGUCCUGGAAACAGCUCAGAAUAAAGUAGAUCUGGACCUCUACAGAAGAGAGGGAGCUCCGGAUUCCAGGUAACUCACGCCGUGCACUCAGUGGCUCCUCUGGAGUCCAUUUGAACACAAUGAGUUGGUGCUGAUACCAAGCACCAAGUGCUAAGAAUGAGUUCUGGGUGUCUGAGGAUCCUGCUGGAAUUCUGCCGAGUAUGCUAUCUGCUGACCCAAAAGCAAGGUUUCUCUGCCCAGACAUGCAGGAUUUCUUCAGCAAAACAAAAACCCUGCAGAUAACCAGAUCCAUCCUCUCCUAAAGCCAGG
rnacentral:sRNA from 1 species